GGUUAUAUAGUAUAGUAGUAGUAUAUAUACUAUUAAUAUAUUGUUUAUAUCGACAUUAGUCGAUAUAGAUAAUAUAUAUAUUAGAUUAUAGGUUUAAUCCCUACUAUAACCU